UCAAGAAGUAGUUCAAGUAGAAUGUUUGCUUUGGGCGCCGACGGUGGGGGAUUUUUGUCCCCCCUUCUUGAU
ensembl:Mt_tRNA